rnacentral:piRNA from 1 species
UUCUAUAGAAAAACGGUCAAA